CUAGACAUUUAUAAUUCAUAUCCUAUUAACAAUCAAUUUUAUAUCUGCAUAUAACUACAUCUAUGAUGAUUAGUUGGACAAAUUCUAAACAAAAAAGCUUGGCACGUUAGGUAGUAAAAAGAGGAAUAAAUACCAUACAAGGUUUUUAAAGAGAAAAUAAAAAGUCAAGUUUAAACAAUUUUUACUUAUCCAGAUUAUCUUGUGUUUCCAAUUGGCGAUCAGUAGCUGUAUAUAAUAGUUCAGAAUUAGUGAUUUUACUAGUUUAUUGCAAUUUAGAGCUCUGCACUCAUAUAUUUAAUAUAUUUUAUCACAAUGUAAAAUUUGGUUAACUCUAGCAUAUACUUAAUUUUAAUUUUAGCAUUUUUUUUUUUUUAAUAAAGAAUUAAAGAAAAACUGGGUUCGGAUGCAAACGAAAAUUUUAUACGCUCGCAAAUUGCAGGGCAGGGUAAGUUUCAGGUUGUAGCAAAACAUUAAACUAAACUAUACUUGCGAACAUGUUUCCACACAAUUUUAUUAAUAUAACUACACCAUUGAUAUACCUACUAUACAUAUAUGAUAUGACAUAUUUGGCAUAACGUUCGCUAGCAUAUCGAUCUGUAUAGGUAGUAAACGGAGGCUAGAAUAAGGCUUGGACGAUUUCACUAAUUUUCCGCAACAAACUAUAAAUAUCCAAAAGUAGAUAUAAUACAAAUACAAUAUAAAACGUGAAUUGUGAAAAUCCUUAUACUACAAUAUAUUAGAUAUUUGGUGGCUAUGGGAAUUCGAGAUUAUUAAAAUCUCAGAUUAAGGAUCUGGAUGUCAAAUCAUUUUGUCACCUUGAUGAUAUUGAUAUACAUAUGUAACUCUGUUAGUUUUAAACGUUAAAAGAAAUCGUAAGGAAGAAAACAAUAGCACAAUAGAAAAAUAAUUAUACGCUGUGCAACAUGUUGCGAGAGUAUAAAUAAUCAAUGUACAGCAAUACUACCGCAGACAUUAAUUUCAUCAUGGAAAUUGUCCACAACGAUCUCAACUUCUGGCUCCUUAACUUCUACACACUUUGGACUCUCUUCGCGGCGAUCCUCAAUGUUCUGCACGACAGUGUCAACUUGACUGUUUCCAAAGCGCUACACUUACAUAUGUACGUAUGCAAUUGAUUGAUGAUGGAAUUGCUAUUAUAAAGUAAAGUUACUUAAAUCUUUUCUUUUUUCACACUAAUGUCAAAACUUUUUAGUACAUACAUAUUUAUAUACUUAUAUGUGUACAUAUGUAAUUGAAAUAAUUAUUAUGUAUACGUAUAUUAACGAUGUUGUUUUACCAUUUAGUUACCAAAAGUACUAUCUAAAGAAUAUACACAUCUAUCAAUUUAUCAAUACAUAUACGCAUUUAAAUAUGUUUGUAUACCGUUAAUAUUAUAAACACACAAUUGACUAUGACUAGCCUCAAACAACUUUUUUGCCAUUCCACCACUCUAAUUGUAUCUAAAUAACCAGUUCAAUUUUUGAAUUAUGAAAAUACUCAAAAAUAAUAGUAAAAUAAGUGCUUACAUUAAACUUAAUACCUAUGUUAAUAUUACUUUGAAUUAACUAUAAAUGUUUACGGAUCUGACCUAAAGUAGUUAUCUUAUUUAUAUAUUAAGCAUAUUAGCAAAUGAAGUUACAUCUCCACACAGUAAAUCAUUGUCACCCCUCCUAUUGCUCUCUUCAUUUCGUUAAGCAUGCAUUCAUCGAGACGAAUUACAUACGUAUAUGUAUAUAUGUAUGUAUAUAUUAUAUAUAUGCAACUUGGGUAAAACAUAAGCCGAUUCCAUACACUUUUAAUACCAAACAACGUAUUUGUA